UAUAUAUAGUUGGUGUGGCAACUGAUCAGUCGACCGCUGCACUUAUUCAAACUAGGAAAGGAAGAACACACUGCAUGUGCGCAGGCCAUACUUGUCUAGAUGAAUCAAUGUAUUGGACCGCACCGGACACAUGGAGUUGAGUCGAGGAUUUCAGCCUAACUUGGACUUACCUUGCACAAAGGCUAUAUAUAUCAUCAAUUCUACGUGGCCAAACAAACUCGAAUCCGAUCGGAGAUCCCAAAAGGGUCCAUCGAUCUAGCUGUUGCUAGUCGUCCAUCCUGGGGGGACUCUAGCAGAGUUCACUGGAGGUAGUGCUCGGACGUUGAUGUCGAUAGGUAACAACCGGUACUGAAUGUCGAGCUCUUUGAAGAUCUUUACCAUCUCCUCAAUCAGGACACCUCUUCUCACCCACUUCUCAUCCAUGUCCUGGUGGUUCAUUCUGUGGCGAGGCCAUACCGCCAUCCUUACCCUCUUUAACUCCUCCAAGUCUUUCAUUAUUAUCAUCGGCGAAGGAUACCAAUGCUCUUUCUUGAUCUCAAUGUAACUGCAUGAACAAAACCAGAAUAAAUGUCGGCAAAAUGCUAAAACUGGCAAAGAUUCUACAUCUUUGGUUCUCAGAAUUAUGGUUCUAGUUUGUAAUUUUAUACGACCAACCAGAGCAGUUUCCGCUAUCA